AACCUCCGCAAUGUGAGAAAUCGCGACGGGGGGAUCCCAAGUGCCAUUCUUAACGGGAUGGCUUUUCAUUAGUGUAAAGAGCUUUUGGAAUAAGGGCUGGGCAAGACCGGUGCCAGCCGCCGCGGUAACACCGGCAGCUCUAGUGGUAGCAGUUUUUAUUGGGCCUAAAGCGUCCGUAGCCGGUUUAAUAAGUCUCUGGUGAAAUCCUGUAGCUUAACUGUGGGAAUUGCUGGAGAUACUAUUAGACUUGAGACCGGGAGAGGUUAGAGGUACUCCCAGGGUAGAGGUGAAAUUCUGUAAUCCUGGGAGGACCGCCUGUUGCGAAGGCGUCUAACUGGAACGGUUCUGACGGUGAGGGACGAAAGUUAGGGGCGCGAACCGGAUUAGAUACCCGGGUAGUCCUAACUGUAAACGAUGCAGACUUGGUGUUGGGGUGGCUUUGAGCUGCUCCAGUGCCGAAGGGAAGCUGUUAAGUCCGCCGCCUGGGAAGUACGGUCGCAAGACUGAAACUUAAAGGAAUU
rnacentral:rRNA from 1 species